GUUAAAGAGUGAUGCAUACAGUGUUUGAGCAGUCUGUCUAGGAAUAGAACAACAACUGAAGUUGAUGGAAGAUACUGCAGAGUUUGGCAGGGAAAUAAUCCAACAGCAAAGCGGCUCUUUAAGCGCAUUUACCUAAAGGACUUACAGGGCCACAAAUUCAUGAGCACAUGUGAGCAGUAUACAAUGUACCUCAUACCAAAAAGAACCCGGAGGCAGUGACUGGUGUUCAAUAUUCUCAGAAGAAAAGGAAAAUGGCAGUGGAAGACUUGGACAAACAUUUUUAAAAACUAGCCUCUGUGUUAAGCCUGGCAGUCUGUGGCUGGUGACAUGUUUUAUUUUGGUUACUUCUUGUAUAAAAAAGACCAGUUAUUUAUUUUGUGAAUUGUAUUUUGUGUUUGUUUUUUGUCUUAAUUUAUUAUAUUUUUUUAAUUUAGGAAUUUGAAACUUGGAUAAUUGAAUAAAGUCCGUGUUCAACAUUACUGAGCAUAGUAUAAUAAAUAACAAAUUUACAACAAUUGUUAAUUUGUUAUGUAUUAUUAUUAACUAUGCUCAGUACUUGAAUACUGGCUGUCUGCAUGCGAAUUUGUUUUCUAGAAAGUUGGUUUCAAACUUAAAUAUUUGAAGUUAACCUUCGGAACUUUUCUAGAAUUGUACUGGAACACAUCAACUAAAACUGAACUUCUGUUAUCAUACUGAAAGUGUUCUAGAAUUAAUAAGGAACAGUUGUUGAACGUUAAAAUUUAUGAGAAAAAACUUGAGAACAAUUGUGCGUGAUGUGUGUGUGUGCAUGUAAUUGUGUGUGUUUAUGAACAUAUGUGAGAAAGGAAGUAUACUUGUCAUAAGAGAAAUGUAAAAUUCUACUUCUAUGUUUUAUAUUGUGCCUUUUAUAAGUUUUUCUUUUCUCACCUGUAUAUGUGUGCAUGUUUAUGGAUGUGUUUUUGAAUGUGUGCAUGCAUGCCUGUGGUUAAGAGAGUUGGUACUUUAAGAAAAUGUAAAACCACUCAUUUUUGAAUAUGUACUGUGACUGCACGUGUGUGAUU